UGAAAUAUAGAGGAAAGUCCGGGCUCCAAAGGACACAGUGCUGGCUAACGGCCAGGAGCAGUGAUGCUACAGAGAGUGCAACAGAAAGUAUACCGCCGAAAGGUAAGGGUGAAAUGGUGGUGUAAGAGACCACCGCUUAUCUGGUGACAGGUAAGGCAUGGUAAACCUCACUGGGAGCAAGACCAAGUAUGUGGGUGGCUUGUCCGGCUAUAUCCACGGGUAGGUCGCUUGAUCUGACAAGUAAUUGUCAGGCUAGAUAGAUGAUUACAUAAACAGAACUCGGCUUAUCGGGGGCCU
rnacentral:RNase_P_RNA from 1 species